UCAGAAUUUCUGCGUGUUGUACAUAGUAGUUAAAUAAGUUAAAGAGAAAAAUGCGGCUCGUAAGCAUCAUAUUAUUAUAUUAUUUAGUCAGCGUUUAUCAAUGAUGUUGAUAUUUAAAAUGCGAUACUAGACAAACGAUAUCCCGUCGCGAUAUAUCGAACGUGACAAAUAACGAAGAAAUAAAAAGUUGUUCGUAUCAUUUAAAA